GGGGCCCCUGGAGGGCCUGGGCAGAGCUCUGCAGAUCCCCUGCUCCCCUCAGAAGGAGCUCCGUCCAACCCAUGGACCUCGGAUGAGGAAAGUCGUGCAAUGACUUUCCUAAAAUUUCAUGAUGUCAGGAACGUAGCAAGGAAAAGCCCUGGAUUCAUUCCGGUAAGACGUCAGCUUCUCGAGGGCCGGGACCGUCACACUUUUGUAACUGCAUCCUCGGCAGCCAGAACAGCGCCUGGCUGGCGCACAGUAGAUGACACAAGUGAGACCCACAGAGGGAAAGUCCUUUGCCCAAGGUCGAAUGGGUGCAGAGCAGGCGGCAGAGCUGGAUUCAAACCCACGACCGUUGGCUGUGCGUCCUGCCCCAUCUCCUAAGCUGUGAUAUCCUGGCUCUGGGGUCUCACGGGGGCACAGACCCCAGCCCCUCUGCACAUCCCCUG